rnacentral:rRNA from 1 species
UACAGAGGGUGCAAGCGUUGUUCGGAAUUAUUGGGCGUAAAGCGCGUGUAGGCGGCAUUGCAAGUCGGGUGUGAAAGCCCUCGGCUCAACCGAGGAAGUGCGCCCGAAACUGCAGUGCUUGAGUACCGGAGAGGGUGACGGAAUUCCCCAAGUAGAGGUGAAAUUCGUAAGAUAUGGGGAGGAACACCGGUGGCGAAGGCGGUC